rnacentral:lncRNA from 1 species
UUAGUUUGAUUUUUUAAUGUCUGCAAUAUCACAUCAACAAAAAGCUGUACAGAUCACAACUGUUGCCAUGGCAACAAUACAUAAACAAUAACAUCCGAGGAAUAUUGCACAUAUUUGUAUACUGUUAUGUAAAUACAUUUUGUAAAUAAAUGUGUAAUAAAAUAAUAAACAGCAAAUAAUAUCAUUGUACUUUUACCAUCACAAGUUGUCUUUUAAAGUUUUGACUACAAAAAUGUAUGUACCAUGGUAUAAAAGGAUUUUAAAUAAACAUCUAUAAAUAGUGAAGGAGUGGCAAAAUAGAGGUUGUUAAAUUUCUUUCUAUCUGAAAAUCUCAUAUUCUUGAAAAUUUUCCCCGAUAUACAUCAGAAUUCAAUAGGAACACAAAUUUUUGUUCAAUACACUUAAGGAAUGACUGUAAUAUUUUUUCUGUCUAUGAAGAAAUAACAUAAAAAAUUUGGUGCACACUGAAUAACAUGCGUAGCGGGUUAUUUAACAGUGUGCACCACAUUUUUUAUGUUAUUGCGAAUAGACAGAAAAAAUAUUACAGUAAUUUCUUAUAAUUUAAUUUUAAAUUCCAUUUUAAACCGUAAACAAACAUGAAAAAACGUUGAUGACCUCACGGUCACAUGACUAAAUUAUGUCUAUGGGCUCAUAACAAAAUAACAUCAGCCAAUCAGAAGACGCGUUACAUCCAAAAUUAAAUUAUUUUUGUUUAAGCUCAUGAAUCAAAUGCUUACCAAGUUUACCAUACUUCAAUUCCUAUAAAUGCAUUUACACCAAUGAACACAAAAUGGAAAUCACAGAUCACUGUCUCGAUGGCCUCAGAGCAGGCUAUCCAGUAGCCAUAUUUAAUUUUGGAUAAACAGCUUGCCUUUUAAACAAUCAGACACUAAUCUGUUAACAAACUUUGAAAGUCACUAAUGUUGUCAGGAAAAUGUCAUAAAUAUAGCCAGGUACAAUAUAUUUGAGUAGUCAAAACCAAAUGGAAUUCUUGUCAAAAUUUUAAGAAAUUAAACAAAACUACAGGACUUUUGUUUCACAUUUUGCACAAAUCAAAAUUUUAA